rnacentral:rRNA from 1 species
GACGAACGCUGGCGGCGUGCCUAAUACAUGCCAGUAGAACGCUGAAGGAGGAGCUUGCUUCUCUGGAUGAGUUGCGAACGGGUGAGUAACGCGUAGGUAACCUGCCUGGUAGCGGGGGAUAACUAUUGGAAACGAUAGCUAAUACCGCAUAAUAGCAGUUAUUGCAUGAUAACUGUUUGAAAGGUGCAAUUGCACCACUACCAGAUGGACCUGCGUUGUAUUAGCUAGUUGGUGGGGUAACGGCUCACCAAGGCGACGAUACAUAGCCGACCUGAGAGGGUGAUCGGCCACACUGGGACUGAGACACGGCCCAGACUCCUACGGGAGGCAGCAGUAGGGAAUCGUCGGCAAUGGACGGAAGUCUGACCGAGCAACGCCGCGUGAGUGAAGAAGGGUUUCGGAUCGUAAAGCUCUGUUGUAAGAGAAGAACGAGUGUGAGAGUGGAAAGUUCACACUGUGACGGUAUCUUACCAGAAAGGGACGGCUAACUACGUG